AUUGAUUCCAGUAAUAUUUACUAGGCAGAAAUAAGUCAUCGAAUUGAUUUUUGGGUUCCCUCCAAACCAUCGGUAUGCCAAAUUUCAGAGUUUUCCCGGUACUCCAUUGUCGUAAAUGUUCUGUACAAGUUUUACAGACCGGAUGUGUUGCCCAGGUUUUAUCCUGAUCACCAAGCCUAACACCGAAGUAUCCAGGAUAUGCUCUCUUUACAAAGUCAGUAAGUUUUUCUGUUUUCUUUUAAUAUGUAUUCUCCGGAUAUGUAGCAAAACACAUCAGGAUGAUUUACACAACUUCUACUUGAACUCAUUUUAUUUCUAUUCAACACCACAAAUACAACAAUCUACAACACAGUACGUUUUACAUUAACUUUAUAACAACUCUUUCCUAGACAAAAAUAUCAUGUGAAGCCAAUUUCUAUCCUACACAGCGAGAAUUCACAAAGUAUCCGCAACUCUAGUUGAAUGUCACUUAAGUUAUUGGAUGCUUACUCCACCUGGUGGAUUUUCAGGGAACUAGACAACAGACUGACAAUAGGGCAAAUAUGCAGGAACCAAUCUUCUAUAUGUGAUAUAGAACUGCACAA
rnacentral:lncRNA from 1 species